rnacentral:lncRNA from 1 species
AAAUUCUUUUUCCUAACAUAAAUUUAGGAAGUUGAGUAUGAAGAAGAAUAAAUGGGUCUAGGCUGGAAGAACUUGAUUGAUUGAAAUAAAAAAAUUAAAGGCUUUUUGUCCCACAGUGAUAAUCAAAACAUCCUUCUAUUAUUUAAAAAACAAAUCUUGAUGUCUAGUUUUUAUUUUGAUGUUAAGAUGGGUUCUCAGACCCUAGCCUAAGAUCUGGAUUUCUGUGUUGUCUUCAUGACAAAAAAAAAAAAACAAAAAAAAACCAAAGACAACAAAUGGAAUAAACCAUUGUAAGUAAAAAGGAGAUGUAAACAGAGCACUGAGAACCUUACUUUUUUUUUUUUUUUGAGACAGAGUCUCGCUCUGUCGCCCAGGCUGGAGUGCAGUGGGGCAAUCUUGGCUCACUGCAAGCUCUGCCUCCCGGGUUCAUGCCAUUCUCCUGCCUCAGCCUCCCGAGUAGCUGAGACUACAGGUGCCCACCACCACGCCUAGCUAAUUUUUUUGUAUUUUUAGUAGAGACGGGGUUUCACUGUGUUAGCCAGGAUGGUCUCGAUCCCCUGACCUUGUGAUCCGCCCGCCUCAGUCUCCCAAAGUGCUGGGAUUACAGGCAUGACGCACCGCACCCGGCCGAGAACCUUACUUUUAAUACAAUUUUAUGUUUACUUUGUCUACUCAGCCACUAGUCGGUUCUUGCUGACGUUAUUUCAAAGGCUGAAGAAAUAAAUUUGUCUUGCCCACAAUUACUAUGAUUCUUUGUUUUUGUUUUUUUAAUAGAAUCCACACUUUCCUCUUUAUUUGUAAUGGGUUUCUUGGUUCUACAUGACACACAGCACCCCUUCCCAAUCAUGUUGCCUCAAGAAAGAAAUAGAGAAUAUGUAGAAAAUUAAAGCACUUACAUUUGGAGUUGAAAGAAAAGAAGGCAAUUGCAAAAGAUCUCUCCUUAUUCUGUAAUGGAAGAGUGCAAAUAAGCACAUUUUUCCUGUCCUUCUCUAAGAUGCUCCUGGCCCACACAAUGCGCUUGAGAAUAAAUCAGUAAUUCUCUAUCAUCAGCACUGCAUUUACUCAGUCUCUAGGUAUGGCACCUCAACAAUGAGCAAAGUCUGAGCUUCCUCUCAGCCGGGGAAGGCUUCGUAGUAAAAGUGGCAUUUAGUAGAACUCAUGACGAGCUGAGGGAUGCCAAUAGUGAAAAGGCAAUGAUGUCAAGACUGUAAAGCUAAGGCUGUUUAGUGAAUAGAGUAUUCCAGUUUACCUAGAGUACAAGUUAUGUGUGUAAGUAAGGCCUUGUCCUAAAAAAAAAAAAAAAAAAUCAGUCUAGUGAGGAAAAAAUGUAAAUAAACAAAUGAAUGAGUACAUUUUGCAUUCUGAGUUAUGCAGAAAGUGCUUUGCAACAUAGAGGAAAAAGCCCUAACUGUUGUGGUGGUUGAGAGUUGAUUGGAAAGCCUCAUGGCAGGCUGAGUCUUGAUAGAGCAGUACUUUGCCCAGUGGAAAUAAGAAGAAAGCAUAUAGAAGUUCUCCUUAUCCUUUGGACUUGCAAUACACACAAAACUUUCUGGGGCUUUCUAAGGAAAUUUUAUUUCAAGAUUCUGCUAGGCAAUAACUCUCCUUCCUUAAAUUGAAGGGUAAGGACUCUAAGUUCUGCUUUUUCUUUUCUCACUGAAUUUGCUUAGGUUUUUUUUUCGUUUUUGUUUGUUUUUUUUUUUUUCACCUUUCUCACUGGUAUUGAUCACUUUCUCUUCCUUAGUAAAGCUCCAUUUGCUUCUCUCCUAACCUGGACAUUAUAGGAAGCACUGAUGCUGUAUUAAAAUUUAGAGAAAGCUCCCAGUCUGUCUUUCCCAACAUCCCUUCAGUUUCAAUAAGCAAAAAAAAAAAAAAAAAGAUUUUGACAUUUCUGCUUUCUGUUUGCAUAUAUUUACGUGGUGUAAUUUUCCAUGUGCCUUUAUUUUAAAACUUCCUUUGUCAUUUGGUUUUAGGCAUGUUUCUUGAAUAUAGUAAUAAGCUGGUGUAUCCAUUAGGAUAAUUUGGGUUGCAAAUAAUGCACAAGGGUUUAAAAAAUGAAGUGAGAUAUGUUUGCUUUUAUAAAGUUCUAGGACAGAUCUAGUCCAGGCAUGGUUUGUGUGUUGUGACUUGAUUUCUCUCUAUUAUUUCAGCUUUCAUUUCCUGGUGUGUUGUGCAGCUUCUCUCGUGGCAGCAAAAUGGCCACAGAGGUUUGAUUCCAGGCCUUUCAUGUGUUUACACCUUACAGUCCAGCAGAAGAAAGAGCUCCUCUUCUGAAAACCUUGAAAGCUCUUGAAUCUUAUGUCUAAUCCCCCAACAAAUCACUAUGAUGGCAUGCCAUACCACACUGAGUCUGGGUCUGUGCUACUUAUCCUUGAACCAAUCACUUUGGUGAGGGGAUCGGUAUUAUGAUAAAUGGUUAGUUUAUGUAAAUUAAGGCUGAAGCCUAAAAUUGAAGCUUGAGAUUCAUUCCCACUCAAGUUAAUGUGCUAUUAUUCGAAGGAACAGAGUAAGUACUAUAAAUAUUGGAAAGAAGUUAGCACAUUUCUCACUGCUGGAAAACCAUACAAUUCCAUAUCUUCAAAAGCCAAAUGGAUCAACUCAUAAAGUAUAUCAGAAAUAAUCAGAAAUAAGUAAGAUUAUUUUUACAAGAUUAAUAAUGGAAAAAAUUCAAUCAUUUUUAUAUAAAAAUAACCAAUUAGAAAAUAUAAUUAAAGGAACUACUGAAAUAAAUUUAUUAAGAAACAUGCACUAUUUAUAUGAAAAUACAUGCAGUUUCACUGAGAGAUCUAAGAUGACAUUAUAAAGAUAUGUGUUCUCCUUAAAUUUGUGGGAACACUUAACCUGGUUGUGAGUAAAAAAAGAAUGAACAUUUGAGAUGUUGAAACAACUAUCGGGAAGAUGUCAAUGAACAGCUCAAGACUGGAAUUAAUUCCACAGAGAAAUGAUGACUGAAUAGUCAAUUUAGAAAGUAAAAACUUGGACUUAAAUUCCAAAAUGAAAAAAAAAAAAAAAAACAGACUAAUAGUGAUACAGUUAGAUACUAGGUCACUGUCACAGCUCCUGUACCAAAUAGUCCACAGUUCUUAAUUAUACACAUUUGAGAGACCAUUUGAUUAAGGAUUGUCUCCCCACUGUACUGUAAACUCUACGGAUAGAGAGAUCUGGACCACUUUGCUCACCAUUGUAUUCCUUCUACCCAGCUCAGCAGUACAUACUACAUACCUAAUGAAUGAAUGAAUGCAUCAAUGGCUUUAAAAGCCCUGGCCAUGCUCCUUACCCCAUCUCCUCUCAGAAUCUGUCCGAGAACCCCCAUUUUGAAUUCAUCUCUCGAUUUUUUCCAAUCCGAUCAUGCUUAACCUCUUCUCUAGUAGGCAGUAGCUCCAGAGAGUAGUUAAGUCAGGAAAAUGGUCAGGUUUGUGUUUAAGGAUGAACAUUAGUGCAAGGCUUUGUCCAUAGGAGUGAAUAAUAAAGGUCUGUAAAAGUUGAAAUUUUGGUUAAAUUUGAAAUGUUCAAAGUAUUAUGUCGUGUUUCUAAUGACAUGAAAGUUUGAGUCAUCUGUGAUGAAUUCAGUGGGAGUCCACACCCAUAAGUAGAAAUCCAGGCUCUAGUAUUGGUGUAAGAAGUUAAUAUCAUCUUCUUACAUUCUUCUUUGGUUUUCUUUUGCACACCUACCUUUAUAAUCUUGUUAAUAAAUUCUAGCAGAUCAUGAUAACCAGGACAUGGCAGGAAAUAAUGAUUAACUAAUCUGUGUUUAUCCUGUCAACUGUACUGUAUCUGGGAACAUAAGUCCUCAUGGAAAAAUUUGGCCUUUGUUUAUUUAAAUCUGCUCCCACAAAGGAAAGGUAACGCAUGAGUUUUGCCAAGGCUGCAGGGCUUUUUAUUCUUUCCCUGCCCCACCUCCCCCACCCUUCCAAUAGAAAUCUAAGGGCUGCAGGUUUAUUGCUCUUUAUUCUAUUCAAUGCAAAAUGAGUUGUCCUUGUUGUCCUUCAGCCUUGUUUUGCCAAGUUUUCAUUUGGACUAAUAGAUGGUGUAUUUCAAAAAAUAGUGCUCAAAAUGUAAUAUGGCACCAUUAGCUUUGGACUACCACAGAGAGUUUGGAGAAUUUCCUGGGGCCUAUGUGUUAAUUUAAAGUUGCAGGAAAGAACAUGGGAAGGAACAACAAUAGCUGUGGUUAUACUCUAUCCUAGAGCUGCCAUUACAGGCAUGAGCCACCGCGCCCGGCCCGUUUCUUGGACUUUCAAGAUCGUGCAGCCCUUCCUUAGUGGUGGAUUGGAUGGAGAAUGGCUGAAGUACAUGGCCACUCCCACAUGAAGUGUCUUGAGCCUUAGCCUCUCCUCAAGCAGUUACUUCCAACAGCAAGUGACCUUUAUAAAUAUGUUUAAUAUUUUAUAUCAAUAUCAGAGCUCAGCACUUUAUAUUAAAUUUGGAGAUGUGCGUGUCUGAUAUUUGGCAUUGCAUAAGAGAGUAAGGUAUCUUCUUCAAGCUUCCUGCAUGAUUUGGGCAACACCUAAGCUACCUCCAUGUACAAUUUCAAGUGUCAGGAACAGUGCACUUGGGUAACCCAAAACCUACUUUUGUGCAUAAUAUCUCAAAAAUUUCUGUGUUCUUCAGCACAGUACACGAAGGCCACGCCAGACUCAGACUACCCUCCUUCUAUGACAGAUUCAAGGAUUUGUGCACUCUUGUCUGAUACACUGGAGUAAAAAACGAUUAUUGAGUUGGUUUUCCAGAAAUGAGAAUACAUUGUGUAUAAUGCUAUGUACCCUUUACCAUAGACCCUCUUGAACCCAAAGUAUAUAUUUGCAAGAUGGCAUCCCUAUCAGAUGAGGUCUUUGGUGAUAGAGCUGAAAAAAAUUAACUGUUUCCUAUAGGAAUCUUAUCUCUGAUUAGACAACAGGUCUAGAACUAAUAGAAAAAACUAAAUGUCUGUGUUCCUCAAAUAAAGAAACAUCUUAAAAAUAUCAUAGGUAUUCAAGAUCGCAUGUCUACUGACUCCAAUUUGAAAAAUGCUGAUUUAUAAAGCUAAAGUAUUAUUCUAAGAAACUGCUUUUUUGUUCCAAUUGUAAGUGGUAAGAGUUCUUGUGUUUUGCACAAUAAUGGCUCCCCAAAGACAUCUAUAUUCUAAUCUAUAAACAUGUUGCCUUACAUGGCAAAUGGAACUUUGCAGAAGUGACUAUGUUUAAGGAUCUUGAAACAGGGAGAUUAUUCAGGUGGCCCCAAUCUAAUAAUCUGAAUUCUUAUACUUGGAGAAUCUUUCCAGUCUUUAGUCAGAGAAAGAGAUGUGACGAUGGUAGCAGACUCAGACACGUGCUUCAUCACUGGCUUUGAAGAAGGAAGAAGAAGGCUGCAGGCCAAGGAAUGCGGCUACCCUCUAGAAGCUGCAAAGGCAAGAAUGGUUUCUCCUCUAGAGCCUCCAGAAAAAGAUUCUGUUUCACCAUUCCAUAGACCCAGAUCCCAACAACCAUUGCUCUUCAGUACCCCUUCCUUCUUAACCAAUGGGAGGAGAAUUCAGCUAUUUAUACUCUGUUAAACUACUGGGUAGAUUCAGACAAUAGUUUACACAUUCUGUGAUUGUUAUUAUUCUUUAAAUCCUCCUUUGUUAUAAGUAUCAAUUUAUACUAUUUCCUUGUUAGGGUUUUUAAUAAAAAUAUCUGCAUUAAGGUGUUCAUUAAGCAGGUAUGCUGACACCUUCAUAUUCUAAGCCACCAUCUUUUCUUACUUGAAUCUUGGAAAACCUCCUAACUGGUUUCUCUUUGUCCAGCUGUUUCAUUCUCCACAGUAUAGCUGGGGUAAUCUCUACAACAUGAACUUGAUCCUGGCUAGUCUUCUGCUUGUGGUUCUUUAUAAAAAGGGGAGAUGUAGUAAUGGACAGGAUCCAGCUUGUGCAGCAAUUAUGGUUGGUCUAGGUUGGGGGCAUUCUGGGUAGCCAUGUGAAAUACUGAUUAUAGCUGGACCUUCUCAUCUUUGCUCUGUGAUACCACCUGAAUUAUUUGAAUAAAAAUCAAAUCUUUCCUCCUUAAGAAUCCUUGAUGGCUUUCUGUUGCAUGUGGAGUAAAGUUCAAACAUCUUAGCACGAAGAAUUCGUCAGUUAAAGGCUGGCCCCUACUUUUCCUUAUCUUCUACUACCUCCUUCUCCAUCCCCUCAUCAUGUCUAAGAUGUGUGAAGCUUUCUUCCACCUUGCCUACCUAGCCAACCCUUACUUGUAUUUUAAGACCUGCCAGCUGGUUGUGGCUAAGGAGAGACAUACAUGGCAGAGAACUGAUGUCUCCAGACAACAUCCAGCAAGGACUGAAGUCUGCCAACAGUUACAUGAGUGAGCCUGGAAGUGGAUCCUUCCGUAGUUGAGCCUUGAGAUGACCACAGCCUAGCAAUAACAUCUUGAUGGUUUUGUUCUUUUGCUUUGAGGGGACUUUGGUGCUGAAAACACUCAAAACUCUGCUUUUCACAGGCAGCACGUAAACAACAGCAAACCUGGAAGAUGUUAGUCCUUCAAGAUGUGCAGGUUAGCACACUCUGGUUUCAUUGUACUCUCUUAUGAUCCAGUAGCCUCAGAUCCCCCAGACCAGGUAUACUUUUAUAAAUACAUACAGAACCAAUCAAUAUUUAUUUUUGGGUCACUAAAACUAUUCUAGCAAAUUCCUUAAUAAGGUCUCUAGAUGAAAAUACAUCUGAAACCAAAGAAUAGUUUUGCUUUCACAACUUCCAGUUCCGAUAUUUUAAAACACUGAUUUAAACCUUUUCAUAUGUAACAAGUGAGACUCGGGGGGGACCUCUGACUAUGUGAAGAUACGGUGGGAAGAUGACUGACCGCAAGACAGGAAGAGAGCCCUCACCGAGGAACCAAAUUGGCCAGUAUCUUGAUUUUGGAUUUCUCAACCUCAAGAACCAUGAGAAAUGAAUGUCUGCUGUUCAAGCCACCCAGUCAAUGGUAUUUUGUUAUGGCAGCCCUUUUCCCACUCUCCUGGCCAUGAUGGAAGUCCAUGAGAGCAAGCAUCUUUGUCCGUUUGGCUCACUGUUGGAUUCCCUGUUUUAAAAAUAUCACCCGGCCCAGCGUAGAUAAAGUUUUACUGAACACAGUGUAUUAAUUUUCUUAUUGUCUCUGGCUGCUUUUACAUUACAACAACAGAAUUGAGUCAUGCCUUGCAAAUCCUAAAAUAUUUGCCCUCUCAUCCUUGAUAGAAAAAGUUUGGAAACCUUCAUCUAGAAAGUGGUCUAGCAAAGUGUGGUCCAUGGAUGAGUUUGAUCUGCAAACUGCUUGUUAUUGGUUCAUGACAAGAAUUGGUUCCAAACAGUAAAGCCGCCAGAAAAAACAGACAAACUCUUAGGAACAACAAUGCCCAUUAUGUGUGGAGUAGAAGCUGCCAGACUUUGAUUACUGGCCAGAGAUUAACCCCUUUGGUGUCUUAGGGGGGAAAAUGCCAAGUCUGAAUCCAGACAUUUCCAGGAUUUUACAGUCAUUCAUGGUAUGAGACCAGGCGAUUUAUAAUGACUUGUGCAAAAAAAAAAAGACUAUUGGGAGAAGGAAGUGCAAGUCAAAGGCCACGGCUCCUUGCUUCCUGAAUUCUGCCAUGACUAAUUCCAGCAAGCGGACAUAGACCUGAUCACCUCUGCUUUUCCCUUUGCUAGCCUGCCUGGUCAUGGAUGAGAAGCACGCUGCUCUUGCUACCUUCAUGUGGUGGUUUGGGUCCUGAAACAUCCACCUAUUUUCAGAAUAAACUAAAAUAAUUUCUUAAUUUCUUGAGGGCACAUUUGCAUUAUUUGUGUCAGAAGGAGGCUGGCAAAUUUGGCACUCACAGAGGGAAACCUAUGUGCUUCGUGAGGUCAUUGCUUAGAGUACAACUGCUACCAAGAACAUUCCCUGCAAACUCUUUUGUGAUCAGUUUCUUCCCUUCUCUCAUAUACCCUCUGCAGGUCUACCAAUUGCAUUUUGAGAGCUCAGAUAAGCAGAGAGCAAUGCAAUUUGUCACAGAAGGAUGAUUAUGUAUAUGCACUGUCAUGUCUAUUUCCAUGCCUAACUCAAAGGAGACACAAGGAGAAAGUGAGCUCAGCCUGGAUAAAUUGGAGAUUGUGAUGACUUCUAGGAAGCCUCAGGAAAGAGAAACAAAGACAACACUGGCCUGCUGCUCUCUGCAAUGGUGGGACCCUUGUGGGAUAACUGUUUUAGGAAUGAAGGUGUCUACCCUCUCUAGAAAUGAAAAUGCAAGUUUGGCUGUGGUUAAGUAUUGGAUGGAGGCAAAAAGAAACUGACAUAUUUUCUUCUUUUCAAUUGUUUGAUUCACCCUGAAGGGCAUGGCUGCUUAAUUUUUUUCUCCAGAGAUAGGUGGACAGAUAAAGACAGGAAAGUAACAUCCACAGACUGCCCUCUGUGAAGGUGACAGUGAUGAAAGGAAUGCUUGAUCUGAACACUGGUAAAUAAAGUGACCGCAUAUUUCCCUAGCCAGGAGAGCAAUCUGGCUCAAAAGAAACGAGAACAAUGACAUUACUGCCAGGCUGCUCCUAAGCCUUUGGCUAUUCUGUUCAGUGCACAAAAAAAAGCAGUGAACAUAGCUGUGACCUGCCUUGUUGGUAGUAUCACAAUUCUUUGGGGCUCCACUUUAAGAAAUUGAGACCUACCUACCUUAAUCCUUGGGGGGUUAAGCUUUCAGACUGGAAUGAUAACUGAACUAUUCAUUUGCAGUAAUUCUGGGUUUUGUGCAUAUUUUAAAAAGGAAUACCGGGCUUGCCUAUAUUCAUUACAACGUCCUCCCAGCUUUCAAAUCUUCCAAUACAAUGCCUCUUCUCUAGUCUUUUAAGCACAUCCUGUGACUGGAUAUGAUUAUGGGAGAUUUACAUGCAUCCUUGUCUAUUGUAUCAAAAGAUCAGGGAAUAAAAUGCCCAUCAUUAAAACCCCAAAGUGAUUGGAUUGGCAUGAGGAAUGGGGAUGGGGCUGGCAUGGAAGAGAGGGUUCUGACUCUGAGAUUUCAUGAAAUGCAAAACAAUAGGACAGCUGCUCUUCCAUAAACAGAUUAUUAUUAUUAUUUCUACCUAGACAGCUUGAUAGCAGCCAUUAUCUUCUUUCUGGGUGUCUUAUCAAGUUCCGGCUGUGUGCAGCAUGGGUGAUAAGGAAAGAGAAAUGUCACCCAUGGGAUUGCCAAGGAUUAUUUCUAUGCACUGCUGUUCAGCAACAGCCAAUCUCUCAGAACUGAGAAGAAGUCCUAUUGUUCACGCUGGGCAGUUGCUAUUCUGACUAUCCCAAGAGAGCAGAAAAGGGAUGUAGUUGCCAUUGUGCAAAAGAUUGAUAUUUCAUUACUCUCAGCUAAAGUUCUGAAAAGCAGAAUCAUCAUGAAAUAUCUUUGAAGAGAGAAAAGACAAGGGAAGAAAAGAAGAACGAAAUGAGUUCAGAGCUUUUUAGAACUGUGAGGGAGUGCGAAAAAAGAAAGGUGUAAUACUUUCAAACAGUGGAAGUUAAAAUGCCAGGCGUGUAAGCCUCAGUGAAAUUGAGCAGCAUCACGUCACCACGACUUGUGGUCCAGCUGUUUAUUGCAAAGACUCCAUCCUGCGUUACUCAUCAGAAAAUAGUUAACUUUGUAUCUGGCAUUAUUUUAAUUAAAAAAAAAGUUAACUUACUAGCCAGGGACAGAUGGCAGGAAUGGAGGUGGGAGUGGAGGAGUGACACUAUACACUUGGUC